UACUUAACUGCAAAGCGAAGCCACGAGUUUGCGUCACAUGCCGUGAUGUCAGUCUGUGUAUAAAAUGCACGGAUAACACGACACAGAUAACACAAUACAGAAGGUGAAACUCCAUCGUCUGUCGUUCGCCUUUAUCCCUUCGACCGAUACGUGACAGGCCUGAAGAAACAACACGAUGAGGUUCAUGUCUACCGCUACAUGUCUGCUGCUGCUGUCUGUAAUGUGCAGCCUGUUUGAAAGGGGCGAAAUGGCCACCAACACCACCAACACUACCACCACUACCACCACAUCCCCCAACGCUGCUGCCACCACUGCCACCACCAUCGCCACUGGAGCCGGAGCCGGAGCCGGAGCCGGAGCUACCACCAUCAAGGCAAGCACCAACGCAGGCAGCAGUCAAUCUGGUGGAUCCAGUGCAGCUUCCAGCGCGGCUCAGGCCACCAGAUUCCUCUUCUCAGGUGUAAACCUUAUGCUCCUUUUCACCGCCUCGGCCGUCUUCUCCCUGGCACUGAUGCUGGAUUAGUGGACACAAACCUGCUAUCUUUCACACGGGCUCGGUGGUUAACGCUACUUCGAACCGUCAGAUCGCCUAAUAGGAAUCUAAUAAGAGAGUAGAUUGGGUUGUUGGAAUCCUUGUCUUUCUAAAUUAUAAGAUAAUACAAUGUAUAUUAUAUAUGUCUGUGUAUAUAAAGAUAUAUAAAAAUAAAAAUAUAGACAGCUUCUAUUUUUCUGUAAAAGCAAGUAGUUAUAUUGCCAAAGUACUCCUUGUACUUGUACGAAUAUAUCUUUUCUGUUUCGGUUUGACUAACACAAUGAAUUAAGAGUUUAAGGAAUCAGUGCUGUUCUUUCAAAACCAGACCAACGAUCCAUCUUUUCUGCUCACAAAAGCUGUAAAGAACCAAAGCGUUCUAUGGCGUAUUGCCACUUAAGUCAACUAAGAAAAAACUGCAGCACAUCUAAAAGGCUACUAGCAUGAUGUAAACUGAUGUAGAUGUUUUUAAAGGUGAUGAAAAUUAAAUAUUCUCUGUACAAUUAUCCUGAUGCAAAUCUGCUUGCUUAUUUCAAAAGAAUUGACAAAAUAAGAAUUUCGACACCACAUAGACCAAAAUCUGUCUGAAUCAAACUGAUGAAGCACUGAGUGAAAGGAGGAGAAGAUCCCAAGUCCAAGAGGAAAAUGUAAAAGUAUCUAAAAUCACCAGAAGGGGGAGGAAGAGCUCUAGGUAGAUUUCUGAUCUGCUGAGAACCAGGCCAAAUGAUCUCCGAAUGCAAAAACCAGCAAAACAAAAACAAAACUCUAAUCAAAUGAAAGCGCGCCGCUUCCAGCACCCAAGUGCAAAACGGAGCGUUUGCGUCACGUCGCAUGACGUCAGUCUCAUUAUAAAGCAGCGGAAGACGGUGCAGGUAGUACAGAAGGCAACACAUCUUUUGUUUUUGGUGUAACAGGCUCGAAGGAACAGCGAGAUGAUGCUCAGAGCAGUGCUCUUGGUUGUAAUGUUAUGCUUGGUGGGUCUGGGUCUUUCUACUACACCACCAAAUGGCACCUCCACAUCAACAAACACUCUAAACUCUGGAUUAGCUUCUGGUGGAUCCAGCAACAGCAGCAGCAACAGCGGCUUCAACUUCGGCUUCGGCAGCAGCAGCAGCAGCGGGGCUCGGGCCACCAUCUUCACCUCUCCAGGUGGAAAUGUUCUGCUGUUUCUCAGCGUGCCAAUGGUCCUCUUCGUUCCACUGCUGAUGGAGUAGCAGCUUGGACAGAAACCGGCUCAGGAAGUGGGCAACUCACCAAAUAAGAAUCUGUUAACCGGGUAGAAUGGGUGGAUGGAACUCUUUAUAGUUUUGUUCUGAAUUCUAACACAAUCCGACAAUAUAAUCACUUUCUUUCUUCUGUAACAGGGAUGUGAUUUGUAUUUCUGUGAUCUUUCCAUUUCGAAUGUGCUUCAGCGACAUGUUAACAUGUAAUUAAGCAUUAAGAGCGCUGUAAUUGCUGAACUGGUUGAUGCUGCUUAUGUGCCGUUUGUCCAAAACAAGUCCUUUUUAUUAGCACAAUGAAGACGAGAGCUUGGGAGAACCAGUGAAUCUUUCUACUGAGCAACUGCAACACCAAUAACAGCAGAGCAUCCUGAAAAACAUUACCCACUGCCUAUCUUGAUCUAAAGUGAUGGAGAUGGUUCCAUGCUUUCGAAACUAUAUCCACUCCCCCCAGUUAAAGAUUAACUAAAAUUUGGUUUAAUGAGAAGCUUAAUCAAACACCAGACAAAUCAGGUGAAUGAGACCAGUGCAUUAAGAUACCACGUCCAUUUGUAAUAAUGUAAUGUGGAUAUAUUCUGCUCUUUCUCUUGUUUUGUGGGUGUGUGUCCAUUUUCCUCCCCGUUCUAACACUGGCUGUCUCUCAAACCGGCUCAGCAAGUAAUCAAUGCUCCAAUGUCUACAGAUCAACUCAUAAGGAUGUAAUAACUAUGUAACUGGAUUGAUGGAAUCUUUCUCUUUAUCCUUUACUUUUCUUUAUUUUUGGCUUGCAGCUGAUAUCCAUGAAGCCGAUUAGAAUAUCCAAAUUUUUGCAUGUACUUUGGGAUUUAGUCUUGCAAUGUUAGACGAAGUAAAUGUUAGCAUGAAAUAAAAACGUCUAACGCUGAAA